GGGCCUCUAGCUCAUCUGGUAGAGCAGCGGCUUUUUAAGCCGCGUGUGCCGAGUUCGACUCUCGGGAGGCUCA
rnacentral:tRNA from 1 species